ACGGUAACAGGAAGAAGCUUGCUUCUUUGCUGACGAGUGGCGGACGGGUGAGUAAUGUCUGGGAAACUGCCUGAUGGAGGGGGAUAACUACUGGAAACGGUAGCUAAUACCGCAUAACGUCGCAAGACCAAAGAGGGGGACCUUCGGGCCUCUUGCCAUCGGAUGUGCCCAGAUGGGAUUAGCUAGUAGGUGGGGUAACGGCUCACCUAGGCGAUGAUCCCUAGCUGGUCUGAGAGGAUGACCAGCCACACUGGAACUGAGACACGGUCCAGACUCCUACGGGAGGCAGCAGUGGGGAAUAUUGCACAAUGGGCGCAAGCCUGAUGCAGCCAUGCCGCGUGUAUGAAGAAGGCCUUCGGGUUGUAAAGUACUUUCAGCGGGGAGGAAGGGAGUAAAGUUAAUACCUUUGCUCAUUGACGUUACCCGCAGAAGAAGCACCGGCUAACUCCGUGCCAGCAGCCGCGGUAAUACGGAGGGUGCAAGCGUUAAUCGGAAUUACUGGGCGUAAAGCGCACGCAGGCGGUUUGUUAAGUCAGAUGUGAAAUCCCCGGGCUCAACCUGGGAACUGCAUCUGAUACUGGCAAGCUUGAGUCUCGUAGAGGGGGGUAGAAUUCCCAGGUGUAGCGGUGAAAUGCGUAGAGAUCUGGAGGAAUACCGGUGGCGAAGGCGGCCCCCUGGACGAAGACUGACGCUCAGGUGCGAAAGCGUGGGGAGCAAACAGG
rnacentral:rRNA from 1 species